AUUGAACGCUGGCGGCAGGCCUAACACAUGCAAGUCGAACGAGUGGCGGACGGGUGAGUAAUGUCUGGGAAACUGCCCGAUGGAGGGGGAUACCUACUGGAAACAGUAGCUAAUACCGCAUACCAUCGGAUGUGCCCAGAUGGGAUUAGCUAGUAGGUGGGGUAACGGCUCACCUAGGCGACGAUCCCUAGCUGGUCUGAGAGGGUGACCACCAACACGUGAACUGGGACACGGUCCAGCGUCCAACGGGAGGCAGAAGUGGGGAAUAUUGCACAAUGGGCGAAAGCCUGAUGCAGCCAUGCCGCGUGUAUGAAGAAGGCCUUCGGGUUGUAAAGUACUUUCAGCGAGGAGGCGUUACUCGAAGAAGAAGCACCGGCUAACUCCGUGCCAGCAGCCGCGGUAAUUC
rnacentral:rRNA from 1 species